AACGCACGAGACCUGCGGACCUGCGGAGGGAUCAUUACCGAGUUAUCCAACUCCCAACCCCUGUGAAUUAUACCUUUAAUUGUUGCUUCGGCGGGACUUCGCGCCCGCCGGGGACCCAAACCUUCUGAAUUUUUUAAUAAGUAUCUUCUGAGUGGUUAAAAAAAUGAAUCAAAACUUUCAGCAAUGGAUCUCU
rnacentral:misc_RNA from 1 species